rnacentral:ribozyme from 13 species
CAAAGAAGAAGAGGAAACACAAAGAUAGUAUAAUGGAAAAAGAGGGGAAGUAUUGCAUGAUUAUUAAUAUUCUGACGAUUUUCUCUUUCUUCUCUACUUUU